AUAGAAAGAGGAAUUGGGUCCAACCAUGUGCUAACAAGGUUACCAUGAACCCAAUAGAUUUCUCUAAACCCAAUUAACACUUCAUGAGCUCAAUUUCUUAUUCCAGACCUAAUUUCUUUAUUGUGUAACCUAAUAGAUUUAAUUCUAUCUGAAAAGUGAGAUAUACAAUCAUCUCUAUCAUUAUAUCACUGAAACUCUUUUCAAUAGAUCGGAACAAUUUCACUCUAACUCAAUAAGGAUUGUCGAUCUGGAAUAAUUCUAGUGAGCUCUCACAGUCCACCAAUGAUACCUAGCAGUAUGUAGUGGUAACUUAGUAAAACUGAAAUGAAUCUUUAGGUAUAGUUAAUGUGUGAUUUAGUCCCUCUAUCAUGAGUCCGGACUAGAUGGCAAGUCAUAGAUAAAUCGUCAAACCUCGACAUCAGUCAUAUGAUAGAUUUGAUUAGCUCAAGUCCAGAUAUGAUAUCUAUGAAAACUUUUUUUCAUCCAUAACUCUACUAUGGCCAUAAAUUUUGUUAGAUGUGUGCCCUAGAUGCC
rnacentral:lncRNA from 1 species